CCCUUAGAUGUCCUGGGCCGCACGCGCGUUACACUGAUGCAUUCAACGAGCUUAUAACCUUGGCCGAGAGGCCUGGGCAAUCUUGUUAACGUGCAUCGUGAUAGGGAUAGAUUAUUGAAAUUAUUAAUCUUGAACGAGGAAUUCCUAGUAAACGCAGAUCAUCAAUCUGCAUUGAUUACGUCCCUGCCCUUUGUACACACCGCCCGUCGCACCUACCGAUUGGAUGGUCCGGUGAAGCCUCGGGAAUGUGGUUCUUGCCGCUUUAUUGUGGCGUGACCGCGAGAACUUGUCUAAACCUUAUCAUCUAGAGGAAGGUGAAGUCGUAACA
rnacentral:rRNA from 1 species